AACGAGGGAGCAAGCAUUAUUCAUCGUGUACUGGGCGUAAAGUGUUCGUAGUGGUCUGUUUUUUAUAAAAUAAGUUUUUCUGGUUUAGAUUUAAAUAGUGGCCUGAAAUGAAGGUCUUCUCGUUAGUUACCAUUAUUACUGGCAGUUUAUAUAUAUUAAUUAUAAUACUAUCGAGUCUUAUAGAAGAUAGCGUACUCUCAGUUUAGAGUGAAAUUCAUGCAGACUGGUGGGGACCAACGGAGGCAAGGCAGCUAUCUAUGUAAGCACUGACACUAAUGAACGUAAAGCAUGGGGAGCGAACAG
rnacentral:rRNA from 1 species